UUAAUGAGCACCUACCCUGUGCCAGGCACUGUACCUAUUGGUGCUAUAAGUAUAUUGAUUGUAGUGAACGCUGUAGUGUGGUUCCCAGAUACCCUCCUUCAGGACCAAGGCAUUUGUUCUCCUAGCAGCUAGGUGUAUUGGCUGCCAUCAGCUCUUAGCUGAACCCCUCUCCAGGAAUUGCCUGAGGUUGAGGAAAUUGCCCCGCCCAGGUUCGUGGUACUACCCUAGGAAUAGCCUCAUCCAGUCUACAUGGGCAUAUAAAGUAGGUCCACUUACUGAAAUUUGUGACAACCCUGAAAAGUCAUCCUAAGCCCAGAGCUCCCCAUGAGACUAGCUGAGGCCUCCGUUGCAACCAUGUUAUAGUUCAGCUUCUACCUCUGCCUAACCCAAGCCCCAGGGAUUGUUCUCAAAUGCAAAUUUCCAUUUCAGAUAGACUAAGUUCCUGCCUUCAAGAUAUUCUGGCCAGGAUAAAGAAACUGAAAUUCAGAGAGGUUUAAGAACUAGCCCAAGGACACACAGCUGAUUCAUGGUAGAGCUAGGAGAAUCCAUUUUCUUGGCAUUUGGUGUAGUGCCCUGUCCACUAUACCAUGUGGCCUUAUAACAAAGCAUGCUGCCAGGAAAUCACAGGCUGCUAUUGGGAGCAGUACUAAGAGAAGAAAUGUCUUCCUAAAAUGUUAAAUUGAACUAUAGGCAGGUUAAUUUCCACUGACAGCAGCACCUCUCUCCUUUUAGGAAAAUGCUCCCCUCUUCCUCUAGACACUGGAUCCAAAUGGAAGUUACUGUCUUCUUGAAUGACCCUGGUUCCUUGAGCACGUGCUUGGUUCGGAGGUCCAAUUGCUGCUUGUUGCUCAUCUAGAACACCUGGGGAUGGGAAGAACUGCCUGAGGCCACGGUAGUUGACUGUGCUGGGUUUUUGCUGUCCCAGGAAUGGAGCUCCAGGGUGUGGUAGGAUUGUCACAAAGAAAAGGGAACACUGUGGAAGAGACUGGACGCAUCAGGAGGGGCUUUCAAAACAUCAAGUUCUCUCUACCCUCAGCCAGAUUCAGCAUCUCAUUAAGGUUCUCUAGGUAACACUGUGUUCCAUAGAAUAUAGAAUAUUUUUCUGCUUGAUUCUUCCUUUUUCCUAAUUUCAAAUAUAAAGCAUGCUCAAUGAAGAAAACAUCACAAACACAGAAGAGUACAAAGGAAAAAAACUCAACCAUAAUUUCACCAACCAGAUAAGUGCGGUUAAUAUUUUUUAAAACAACAGUGAUAUCACAUUGUCAGCUUUUCUCACUUACCUGCAGAGCAGAUCAUAGAUUUUUAAAUUAAACUUUUAACUUUGACAUCAUCGUAGAUUCAUAUACAGUU
rnacentral:lncRNA from 1 species